rnacentral:lncRNA from 1 species
UUCCAGCGGACCUCCUCACAUCCAUGGUGUUCAUAUCCAAGUUGUCUCCGUGGAUGGAGAAGAGGAAUCCUCUCCCUAGGUCUCCCUCAGUCCUCUCCAGCCGCAGCCUUGACGGGAAAGAGCCGGCCAGGGAGUCUAGAAGCCGAAGCGGUGCCGAGCGGCUUCCCUAGGCUUGGUGGGCCCGCGUCCGGGACGGCCCGGGCCGUGGUUCUCGACCUGGGCUGUAAUGUCUCCAGAGUUUCUGGGCUUUUCCUGGGACUUACUCAGGCCGGCUACCAGUUUACUGGGCUAACCGCCUACAUGUAUUGAACAUUGAGUGUGUGCCUGGCGCUAUGCCGAAUGCCGUGUAGUAGCUCAUUUAAUGCGCAUAAGGACCUACGUAGUGAGAAAUACUAUAAAUAUCCCCAUUUGUGACAGGAAGGAGCUGAGUCAGAGAGACCGUGUGUAAUUUGCUCAGCGUCACACAGAUAGUAAACGGCAGAGCCGCUCUUCCUCCCUGUCCCGCCAGCUCCUGCCUUCUGCUGUCUUGGAUCUCCUAUGCACGGGAAACCUGUUGAAGGUAGGACAGCCGAAAGGUCAGUAUUCAGAGUGAGCCGUUUGCGAAGGUGUGUGUGCUUUGCACACUCACGGCGCCCUGUUUACACUCUGCAAGUCUUAAUACAUAGGGGGAAAGCAGCAGUCCAAAGAGGAGGAACUAUGAUGUUAUAAACUGCAGCGUCCUCAGGGACGGGCUCCUCUAGCAUUGUGUUGUCCAGUACGUUAGCCCUAGCCAUAGUGGCUUUUGAGCACUUCAGAUGUGACUAGUCCCAGUGGGAAUGUGCUAUAAAUGUAAAACACUGUACAAACUGGAUUUCAAACACGUCGUAUGAAAAAAAGAAUGCAAAAUAUCGCCAGGUGCGGUGGCUCAUGCCUGUAAUCCCAGCACGGAGGAGACAGAGGCAGGAGGAUCCUUUAAGCCCAGGAGUUCGAGACCUGCCUCGGCAAUAUAGUGAGACCUAUGUCUACAAAAAAAAAAU